ensembl:lincRNA
UUCCUUGUCCGUCCUGCGACCUCUCCUGCUCCAGUGCGAGACCCUCGGCCCUCUCUCUCCAUCUCAGAUCUCUCUUCCUGUCCGUCCGCCGACCUCUCCUGCUCCAGUGGAGACCCUCGGCCCUCUCUCUCCAUUCUCAAGAUCUACGUUCCUAUCUGUUGCAGACCUCUCCUGCUCCAGUGGAAGACCCUCGGCCCGUCUUCUCUCAUCUCAGAUCUCUCUUCCUCAUCCGUCUGCAGACCGUCUGCCUGCUCCAGUGGAGACCCCCGGUUCUCUUGGAAACCAGCCUAACCGCAUUCCCAGCCGUGGAAGCAGAUGUGGGCCCAGCCUGGUCCACCCGAGGUCUUCUAUGUGGAAAGGCCUCCCUUUCCCUCUGUGUCCUCUCCACAUAUCUUUUGGGCCCCUAGCCCCCACGGGUUCUGGGCCCCACAAUCUGGGCCUUGGGUAUCCCUCGGGGCUGUUCCUCCCAUGCAUCUGGCCUCCACCCUAGCGCCUCGGCCUCCCCCUCCCACCCCAGCCUCCACCCCGGCUCCCCUGGUCUCUACCCCAGCACCUCCAACCUCCACCCUCACACCCACAGCUGUCCCCCAAGGCUUUCCGAUCCCUGAGCCAAGCAGCUCCGCCCUGCCUACAAGCCUGGGGCCCAAGUCUAGGAGGAGCAGAGCCCUUCCCCAAGAGGCUGCCGAGCCGGUCACUGAAGCUGGCCAGGGGCCUGGCCCUCAGCUCAGGGGUGUCCUGGGCCAGGUAGUGGCAGCUCGGCUGUUCCCUGACAGCCCGGAGGACCCGCCUCCUCACCUAAAGGGCCCACCUCCACCCGAGGCUGGAUCUCCGAAAGUCAAGACCACACAACCCCAAACCAAGGUGACUCCCCCUCCAUCUGAAUCCCAGCGUCCGGCCAAGGCCAUGCCACCUGCAUCAGGGUCAGUGAUCUGGAAGGCCAAAGCCACUCCUUCCCUUGGAGCAUGGCCACAGCCCGAGGUCCCACCCACUCCAGCAGAGCUGACAUCCACAGUCAGGGCCACGCAGCCUGCCUUCCAGGCUGGGUCUCCGGAGGCCCUGGCCCCGCCCCCACCCGCUGCUCACCAUCGCCCCUCAGAGGCCCUGCUCACCCAGGCAGCCCGGCUGCUGGAGGCUGCAGAAGACUCUGACGGCAGCGAGUUCCAGGAUGAUCCUGUGCUCCAGGUGCUGAGAGCCCAGAGGGCAGAGCUGAGUCGGCAGAAAAGGGAAGCAGACACCCUAUUAUCGUUCCUGUUGAACCAGGCCAAAGACCCGGGAUCUUGGUCUCCUCCAGCCAGGUCGCCCCCCAGGUCCCCAAGGAGGCUGCUGCGAAGGGAAGGCGCUUUCCUGGAUGCCAGACGACUUUGAAUUGUACAGAUUCUGGAUUCUAUUUUAUCCAGAUUCCCGGCUCAAAUGGGACCAAAGGACUGUCCUCUGGGGAAGAAGCUAGUAGGGUCAUCGGAGUGUUGGAUGAUGGUCAGUCUGCAGCCCACACCAGCUUGAGCAGCAGCAGCAUCUAGUACAGCUCACCCCUCCCUCCUUGAAGCACUUUCUCUCCUGCUUCCAGAACUUCCCUGCACCCCUCUGUUCGGGCCUCGUCACUGGCCCAGCGUGUCAACUUUGCCAUGACGCAGAGCCACGGCGCUGACUUCUCUGUCUAUACCCACCCGUAGAUUCUCCUGCCUAGCUUCAUGACUCUAAACCCCAUCUCUAUUCUGAUGGUCCCCAAAUUUCUAUCUGUAACCUAGACCUGGCCAUGGAAUCUUGGGCUCCUACCUCAUCACCAUUUCUACCCAAGGGCUUGAAAGACAUCUCCAAUUCCAUAGGUCCUAAAUGGAGUCAGUCUUUCCCCCUAAGCAUGCCCCUCCCAACUUUCUUCAGCUCUGUCCUUUGCCGUUAGAGUUGCCUUUGACUUCUGUCUUUCCCUUCCACCCACAGUUAACCUGCAAAUCCUGCCAUCUCCAACUUUAUCUUGUUUUAUUUUGAGACAGUUUCACUCAUGUUGCCCGGGCUGGAGUGCAGUGGCGCAAUCUUGGCUCACUUCAACUUCCACCUCCCGGGUUCAAGGGAGUCUCCUACCUCAGCCUUCCGAGUAGCUGGGAUUACAGGUGCCUACCACCACACCUGGCUAAUUUUUUUUUUUUUUUUUGAGAGGAAGUCUCGCUCUGUCACCCAGGCUGGAGUGUAGUGGCUCGAUCUCAGCUCACUGCAACCUCCGCCUCCCAGGUUGAAGCGAUUCUUCUGCCUCAGUCGAAAGGGAGAAGCAGUUGAAUUCUGGAUAGAUUUUAAAGGUGGAGGUCAGGCAUGGUGGCUAACACCUGUAAUCCCAGCACUUUGAAAGGCUGAGGCUGGUGGAUCACCUGAGGUUAGGAGUUCGAGACCAGCCUGGCGAACAUGGUGAAACCCUGUUUCUACUAAAAAUACAAAACAAAAACAAAUUCUGGGCAGGGUGGCUCAUGCCUGUAAUCCCAGUACUUUGGGAGGCUGAGGUGGGCAGAUUACUUGAGUUUAGGAGUUCAAGACCAGCCUGGCCAACGUGGUGAAACCCUGUCUCUACUAAAAAUACAAAAAUUAGCUGGGCAUGGUGGUGGGUGCCUGUAAUCCCAGCUACUCAGGAGGCUGAGGCAGGAGAAUCUCUUGAACUCAGGAGUCAGAGGUUGCAGUGAGCUGAGAUUGCACCACUGCACUCCAGCCUGGGUGACAGAGUGAGACUCCACCUAAAAAAAAAAAUUAAUUUCUCUCUCUCUCUCUCUCUCUCUCUCUCUCUCUGUGUCAGUCUCUGACACUUGCUUUAGAGGCCACAUUAAAAAAACUAGUUGCCAUGCUGGGGAGAGGUUUGGGUUACACAGAUGUAUGCACUUAUCAAACUUAGUGAAGUGUGUGAAUUUCAUUGUACGUAAAGUUUACCUCAACAGAAAAUAUUGAACUCCAGUUAAAGAUAACGCCUGUAAUCCCACUUCUCUGGGAGGCCGAGGCAGGAGGAUCACUUGAGGACAGGAGACCACCCUGGGCAACACAGCAAGACCCCAUCUCUACAAAAAUAAAUAAGUAAAUAAAUAGGUUUGGGGGACAUGUAGUGUAGUCCCAGCUACUCGGGGUGGGGGGGCCGUGCUCAGGUGAGAGGUUCUCUUGAGCCCAGGAGUUAAGGCUGCAUUGUACUGAGCUAAGAUUAGGCCACUGCACUCCAGCCUGAGCUACAGAACUACACCCUGUCUUUAAAAAAAGAAAAGUGCCGGGCGCAGUGGCUCACGCCUGUAAUCCCAGCACUUUGGGAGGCCGAGGCGGGUGGAUCACGAGAUCAAGAGAUCGAGACCAUCCUGGUCAACAUGGUGAAACUCCGUCUCUACCAAAAAUACAAAAAAUUAGCUGGGCAUGGUGGCGCGUGCCUGUAAUCCCAGCUACUCAGGAGGCUGAGGCAGGAGAAUUGCCUGAACCCAGGAGGUGGAGGUCACAGUGAGCCGAGAUCACGCCAUUGUACUCCAGCCUGGGUAACAAGAGCAACUCCGUCUCAAAAAAAAAAAAAAAGAGAAGUAUGUACACUAAAAUAUUUAGGGAGCAAUGUACAAAUGUCUGCAAUGUAUGUUGAAAUGUAUACAGAGAUGAGUUGGGUUGCUAGAUAAAUAGGGUAAUAGGAAGGUGUGAGAUAAUGCAAGUAUAGCAAAAUGUUCAUGACAGAACCUAAGUGGUAGAUAUGUGGGUGUCCACUGUAAAACUUUUCAACUUUGCCGUAUGUUAGAAAUGUUUCAUAAUAAAAUGACGGGGAAUAUAUGACUGGGGUUGUUUGAUAUCUGCUUUUACAAAAUGGAGGGGUAAGAUGGAUUUCUAGUAACUUCUGUAUGGCACAGACAUGGUAAAUAUCUGUUUCCAACCUUUCUUUUUAUUUGGAGACAGAGUCUCUAUCACCCAGGCUGGAGUGCAAUGGUGUGAUCUCGACUCACUGCAACAUCUGCCUCCCAGGUUCAAGCAAUUCUCCUGCUUCAGCCUCCCAAGUAGCUGGGAUUACAGGCACACGCCACCAUGCCCAGCUAAUUUUUUUUGUGUGUGUA